GUGGGGAAUUUUGGACAAUGGGCGAAAGCCUGAUCCAGCAAUGCCGCGUGCAGGAUGAAGGCCCUCGGGUUGUAAACUGCUUUUGUACGGAACGAAAAGCCUGGGGCUAAUAUCCCCGGGUCAUGACGGUACCGUAAGAAUAAGCACCGGCUAACUACGUGCCAGCAGCCGCGGUAAUACGUAGGGUGCAAGCGUUAAUCGGAAUUACUGGGCGUAAAGCGUGCGCAGGCGGUUUUGUAAGACAGUGGUGAAAUCCCCGGGCUCAACCUGGGAACUGCCAUUGUGAAUGCAAGGCUAGAGUGCGGCAGAGGGAGAUGGAAUUCCGCGUGUAGCAGUGAAAUGCGUAGAUAUGCGGAGGAACACCGAUGGCGAAGGCAAUCCCCUGGGCCUGCACUGACGCUCAUGCACGAAAGCGUGGGGAGCAAACAGGAUUAGAUACCCCUGUAGUCC
rnacentral:rRNA from 1 species